GGGCUGGGCUGGGGCCGCGCCGCGCCGCGCCGAGCCACCUGCGCCCGCCCGAGCCGCGCUCAACUUCGCUCUCGCGCUCUGCCUCGCCCGCUCGCUCGCCCGCCCGCCCAGCCUGCCGCCCGCUCAUGAAUAUUUAUAGCGAGCGCCGCCGGGCCCCGCCCCGCCCGCCCCGACAGCCAAUCGCGCGCCGCCGGGCGGGUAGCGGCGCAGAGGCCAGCGCCGGCCUUAAGGUGGAACCGGGAGCGCGCGCCUGUGUGAGAGAGAGGGAUUCCUUCCCGUGAGUGUGUGCAUGUGUGUUAGGGAUCUCCUCCCAUUUGUCUGGGACGGGGAUCCCUUUCCGUGUGCGUGUGCGUGAAGGAUGCCUUUGCGUGUGUUUUUGUGUUAGGGAUCCCUUUGCAUGUGUGUUUGUUGUGUUAGGGAUCCCUUUGUGUGCGUGUGUGCGCGCGCGUAUGCACAUUAAGGAUCCCCUUCCAUGUGUUAGGGUACCGUGUGUGUGAGAUAAGGAUCCCUUCCCAUUUGUGUGUGUGUGCAUACUAUGUGCGCGUGCAUGCAGGAUAGGGAUCCCUUCCCACUUGGCAGCAUUUGUGUGCGUGUGUGUGUGUGUGUGUGUGUGUGUGUGUGCACGCACACAAGCAGGAUAGGGAAUCCUCUCCCAUCCAGAGGUGCAUGCAUGAGUGCAUGUGUGUAUCACUUCCAGGUGAGUCCUGGCCAAUGGCUCCUUCAGGAGUUAGGAGCAAGUUUUCAUCGCUCUCUUUCUUUAAAAAGAAAAAAAAAAAAGAAAAGAAAAAGAAAGAAAAUAAAUCGUUUGGUUUCACAUCAUUGGGUCUCGGGAAGGAGCGCCCAAUGGCUGCAAUUCUUCAGUGCACUCUGCAAAAAAAGGUCUAUACGCUGAAGGCUUCUCUGCCCAGGUGCGUGCGCUGGGUGUACUGUGCAGCAGUAGGGCCUAAAUCAAAGCAGACCCAAAGCCCGAUCUUGCAAAACAUUACUUGGGUUUUGCCAGGAUGGUUUUGGAGAAACCUGAAAAACUUUUUUAUAUAGAAGGCUUUUGCACAGCCCAGACGCACAUCUGUCCAAGGAAAACAUGCAACCUAAUCCAGACCUUAGUGGUGGCUAAGGAUCUGCCAGAGACAAAGUAUCAGUCAAUAAAUGGUUUGGGUCCUGAGAAUGUGCCAGACGAGUCAGUCCAUUUGGUUGAUACACCGGUGUGGACUUUGAUUUAUCCCAACUGGCAGCUGGUUACACUGAAGAGUGGCUGCACUUCCUUAGCUAGAGCUGCUUAAAAUAGGCAUUGUUUACGGUCAGUGGCAGGAUCAUCUCCCGGGCAAUAAAACUUCCAGUCGGAGGCUGGAGUCUGUGCGCCAGAAUCUGAGUUCGUGCCUGUCUUGAGUGAGGGGAGAAAGCUUGCUGCACUGAGUAUAAAGCAGGGCAGGGUGGCAAUUUAGAGGCUCCCUGCCCCUCCUUUCUCCUUGACUUCAGACUAACCCAGCUAACUACUUCUCUCUCUAUUGAGUGUCUAAUAAGACUUAAGGGGCAAGCAGCCACCGCUCCAACAGUGGAUUGCUGCAAUGGACUCUGAAUGGUUAAGGACUAGCUGAGCCAAAAAUUGCAAUUUAAGAAUCAGAGGAUCCAUCCCAUAAACUUCUGUGACAGCCCUCAGGUCAUUUAGGUGACAGGAGACCAAGGAGACUUCAACAGCUAAAGGCUCAGGUGUGUUUUGGGAGUCAAGUCUCGGCCUAAAUGGCCAACUCCCAUUGCCACAUAGAUAGAUCUAAGUUGGUCUGUAAGUUGCAAAUGUACCCUGCCUUCUGCUUGGCUCCAGAUUCAUGCAGCUCCAAGCCUCUCUAAUGGUGAAUGGCACUGCUCUCUCAAUCCGCAGAGACAGAGGGAGUCUUGAAAAGGAUGCUUACUUAAUAACUGGCGGGAUAGGACCCUUCAUUUCUAAGAGUUACAAAAUCUUGUCAGUCCCAUUCCUUGACAUAGCAACUGCUUCCCCUGCAGGAGGGCUAACAAUCGUGCUCGGCUGAACAGGUGGUGGAUUUCCUUUGGAAGAAGAGGAAAGUAGAGCAUUGCCGCGGCCACCUCGUGCCCUGCUUUUUCCUGCGAAUGGCUGACGUCAAAGGCGUGCGAUCUUCUGCCAUGGACUGUGCAGGUCACUCUGGAGUCUCGGCUGUCAGGCUUGUGCACCCUUUCACUUUGGAGGAACUUUUGGUGAAGGCAGAAGAGCAGAUACAGCAUGGAAUGGACAAGGGGCAGACCCUAACCACUGCUCCCCACCAUACAGCAUACAGACUAUGCCUUGGAUGCCAUCCUGGAACUAACAGCAACCCUGGAAAACUUCACGGACUGGAACUGGUAGAGAAAACUCUCUGCAAUUUGGCUUGUUCCAGAGUCAGUGAAUUGAAGAUGAAAGGUGGAAAGACCCCAGAUUAGCUUCAGUAGGCCUUCUGUAUCAAGAUUUAAGAAGAAGAAACUGCAUUAUCGACAUACAAGGAGGAAUUUUUACCUGCAAUUUAUAUUGAGCAUAUCUGUUAAUGAGCUUCAGGUGGAACAGACUCUGCUAAGAUCCGUUUUUGUCUUGGUUAUGGCCCCAUGAGGGGACUACGUACACACCUAUUUGAAGGCACUCCAGGUUGAAAAGCUGACCAUCCGUCAAGACUCAACCCCUAUUCUGGGAGGAAGGCGGCCAUGGAUAAGAGAAAAUCACAGCAAGAUAGGAGGAGAACAGGGUUGGGGCAAUGCUAAGGUUGAAAAGCAGUACUGAACUCCCCACCUGUGUGCCUGUACAAAAAUAGCAAUCUUUGGGAAGUACACUUUGCUCCUAACGUAAGAGGCACUAUCUAGACAAUUGGCGUGUGUUGAAGGAUGCGUCCCAAGGUAUAGCUAGAAGAACGUUGCGGCGAGCCAGGAAAUACAUGUCUGUGUUGAAGAACUCUGGUGUGAGCAAACAUGAUAUAGAGCCAGGAAACCUGUAUGCAGGAAUGAUGGAAGCUUACCUGGAACAUUUGGAUUUACCUGGACAAAACAAUGGACAAUAUAUGGGAGAAACCCCCCCAGCUCAAAGGAGAAGAAUUCUAUCCCACUCUUUCUCUGAACUUUCAAAUUGCCAGGACUUACAGCAUAAUAAUAACUGUACAAUCCUAAAGUAGCCAUAGAUUUGUUGCAGUUAAUACUUUAAGUGUAUUCAUAUUCUCUAAGAUGCGGUAUUUUGACUUUUUAUGCUUAUGACUAAGUCAUACAGUAUAAUAUGGAUGAUGCCUAGAAGUGCUGAGAGUUUGCAUCUCCUGUUUCUUUUGGUUCAUGGCACAUACACUUGCAACCACUGCCACAGAUCAUGCAAAUCUUGGAUUGAACUAUUCAGUCACUUGAGACACUGCAAACCAUCUGCGCCAUGGACUGCAAUAUCCACUGUCUCUUGCAGAUGAAAGGAUGCCAAUCAAUUCUUCUGGAAAAAGACACUGAAAGGCACAUGCAAAUCUCAUACACAAGCUGGAAGUGGGCUCCAGAUCAGACACUGAAAAGGACAUGCAUUUCGAGUCUGUCUUUUGAAAAUGGUCAUAUCCUCAGAAGCACACAUCUUCUUGAUAUUCUGUCACAAACUCAAAAUAGGCUUUCUUGUCACUAAAACCAUCCAUGCCUCAGUUUGCCAAGUGGUUAAGGGGAUUCAGCUGCAUUUCAUGUCUCAUCUCCACAAGAUUCCCUUGGAUGAGGAGGAACCCAUGGUUCUACAGAACACAAGAGGAGGAAAUACAAACUGGCAGAUAACUGGUAUGGAAUCACUGACAAUAAUUUACUGAGUGCCUUCAACUCCCAGUGAAAUCAGAAACUAUGUGCUCCUAAUGAAUUCCUCGUUGACUUGUUUUGCUGGCAAAGGAAACAAGGCCAAUGUUGCAGUAUUUGGGAGUGAAGUAUGCGGAUGACUUAGUGAACCAAAGGAGUGAGUUCCAGCAUCCUGCAUUUAUCAGAGGAAUUUUUAACAGGUCUCUGCCAUUUGAUACCCACUGCCAGCACUAACAAUGCAGAACACUUUGUGGCAGUCUUACACAGGGAACUGAAGUCUGGACAAAGAAACUGGACUCCCUUCUUGUACCUGGAGCUAAGCACACCAGGAUGACUAGGAUCCCUUGAGGUUCCACUGCUUAUGGAGUGUGCCCGCGCUUCUCAUCUGCUGGAUCUCUGGAUGUUCCAUGUUUCAUUUGGUUAGCUGGGAUGACACAAACAUGGGAAGUAUUCCAAGAAUGUAGAAAUGUUGAGCACAAAGGUUCAGUCAAUAUUUUCUACAAGAUGAUUUCUAUUAGUCAUUUUUUGAUGAGGAGUGCUGAGCUAGCUGCAGCAACUAAGCAGGAUGAUUGCAUAGACAUUUCAUAGACAUUAGGGCUGGAAGGGACCUCGGAAGAUCAUCGAGUCCAGCCCCCCGCCCGAAGGCAAGGAGUCAGCUGGGGGUCAUAGGAUCCCAGCAAGAUAAGAAAGUCAUUACAUGCUGGGCUGGGAUGGAAGAAUUGGGCUUUCAUGGAGUAAUAAUGAAAGAAACUAGUUUUUCAAAAUCUGCACAAAAGAACUACAACUCCAAGGUUUGAAGCCCUAUCUGUGAAAACGAAUAUUUUGAAAACAAUGCCAUAUAUCACAACUGUCACGUCCUAAACAUAUGGAGGGGAAUUCCCUCUCAUCUAUGAUCUUAUGGCAGUUUCUUUGAUGUGUAGGUUUCAAUAAAACAUUUUAUAUUCUC